CUCUGGUAGUUUCUCUGAAAAGGGGAAUCCCAGAUGGGUCUCUAAUUUCAACACUCUGUGACAUUCGCUGAUCCAGCUGGAUAAUGGUGGAUCCUCAGGGAGAGGCCCACAAGCCACAAGCUUCAUUCCACAGGGUUUCAGGAUCUAUAAAAUAUUGUCAAAGCCCAGGGCCACCUUCAUUCUCCUAUCCUCACUCUGCCCGUCAGAAAGAAGAAUCUGAGGUGAGGAGACGGCAGAGUAUCAUGAAAGCCCUCCUGACAGUAGCCUUCAUCACUCUGACUCUCGGUUCCCUGGCUGCUCAGGACCGGAGCCGGGGAAAACGCAGUCAGGAGAGUAGAAGUCAUGAACUGCUGCCCAGGUUUUACGGCAACCGUUACCAGUACCCGUUUGGCCCGUAUUGGCCUUUUGCCUACCCCCGAUAUCCGUGGCCUCGAUACUAUUUCAUUCCCAAUCCAUUUCCGGCAGCAGCUGCUCGCUCUAGCAAAAGAUGAGCCAAGGAGAGAAGGAACCGGUUAUGAUGGAACCCAGCCUUGACUUCAUAUGCGCUAACAGCUGCCUUUUGGAGGCUGUGCUGCAGCCAAAGGGACAUUGUUGCUGUCUCCUACCUUUACUUCAAGGCAUUGGCCUUUCUCCAGUGUAAUGACUUUUCUCCAAUAAACAUUAAUGGCAAGUACUUCA
rnacentral:lncRNA from 1 species